rnacentral:rRNA from 1 species
UACGUAGGGUGCAAGCGUUGUCCGGAAUUAUUGGGCGUAAAGGGCUCGUAGGCGGUCUGUCGCGUCGGGAGUGAAAACUCAGGGCUUAACCCUGAGCCUGCCUCCGAUACGGGCAGACUAGAGGUAUGCAGGGGAGAACGGAAUUCCUGGUGUAGCGGUGAAAUGCGCAGAUAUCAGGAGGAACACCGGUGGCGAAGGCGGUUCUCUGGGCAUUACCUGACGCUGAGGAGCGAAAGUGUGGGGAGCGAACAGG